CCGGGGAUAACAGGCUUAUCUCCCCCAAGAGCUCAUAUCGACGGGGGGGUUUGGCACCUCGAUGUCGGCUCGUCACAUCCUGGGGCUGGAGAAGGUCCCAAGGGUUGGGCUGUUCGCCCAUUAAAGUGGCACGCGAGCUGGGUUUAGAACGUCGUGAGACAGUUCGGUCCCUAUCCGUCGUGGGCGUAGGACAUUUGAGAGGAGCUGCUCCUAGUACGAGAGGACCGGAGUGGACGAACCGCUCGUGUACCAGUUGUAGUGUCAACUGCACCGCUGGGUAGCGAUGUUCGGAAGGGAUAAGCGCUGAAAGCAUAUAAGCGCGAAGCCCACCUCAAGAUGAGAUGUCCCUAUCUAAUUUAUUAGAUCUAAAGGUUUCCUGAAGAUUACAGGAUUGAUAGGUCACAGGUGUAAGCCCUGCAAGGGGUUAAGCCGAGUGAUACUAAUUAGCCGUGAGGCUUGAUUAC
rnacentral:rRNA from 1 species